ACAGCCACAUCAUGUUGAAACACCACUUCCCAUACAAUCACUGAAGUUAAGCAACAUCAAGCAUGGUUAGUACCUAGAUGGGUGACUACUUGAGAAUACCAGGUACUGUAAG